rnacentral:rRNA from 1 species
UUUGAUCCUGGCUCAGGAUGAACGCUGGCGGCGUGCUUAACACAUGCAAGUCGAACGGGGGCGUGAUGUGCGAGAGGGAUAGUUUACUAGACUUCAAACUUUUCACGCCCUAGUGGCGGACGGGUGAGUAACGCGUGGGUAACCUGCCAUAUACAGGGGGAUAACACUUAGAAAUAGGUGCUAAUACCGCAUAAGCGCACAGGGGCGCAUGCCCCGGUGUGAAAAACUCCGGUGGUAUAUGAUGGACCCGCGUCUGAUUAGCCAGUUGGCAGGGUAACGGCCUACCAAAGCGACGAUCAGUAGCCGGCCUGAGAGGGCGGACGGCCACAUUGGGACUGAGACACGGCCCAAACUCCUACGGGAGGCAGCAGUGGGGGAUAUUGCACAAUGGGGGAAACCCUGAUGCAGCGACGCCGCGUGAGUGAAGAAGUAUUUCGGUAUGUAAAGCUCUAUCAGCAGGGAAGAAAAUGACAGUACCUGACCAAGAAGCUCCGGCUAACUACGUG